rnacentral:lncRNA from 1 species
AAAAGACAUUUGUAAAUGUCACAAAUUUGGAACUUUUAAAACAAGAAGUAAAAAAUUUAUUAGAAAAAGAUGCUGUAGAAAUUGUGCAAAAAACACAUAUUCAGACAGGUUUCUACAGCACACUUUUCUUAGUAGAAAAGAAAAACGGGAAGUUGAGACCCGUUAUAAAUUUACGACCACUGAACCAGUAUCUCAAGAAACAAC